GAUGAACGCUGGCGGCGUGCCUAAUACAUGCAAGUCGAGCGAACGGACGAGAAGCUUGCUUCUCUGAUGUUAGCGGCGGACGGGUGAGUAACACGUGGAUAACCUACCUAUAAGACUGGGAUAACUUCGGGAAACCGGAGCUAAUACCGGAUAAUAUUUUGAACCGCAUGGUUCAAAAGUGAAAGACGGUCUUGCUGUCACUUAUAGAUGGAUCCGCGCUGCAUUAGCUAGUUGGUAAGGUAACGGCUUACCAAGGCAACGAUGCAUAGCCGACCUGAGAGGGUGAUCGGCCACACUGGAACUGAGACACGGUCCAGACUCCUACGGGAGGCAGCAGUAGGGAAUCUUCCGCAAUGGGCGAAAGCCUGACGGAGCAACGCCGCGUGAGUGAUGAAGGUCUUCGGAUCGUAAAACUCUGUUAUUAGGGAAGAACAUAUGUGUAAGUAACUGUGCACAUCUUGACGGUACCUAAUCAGAAAGCCACGGCUAACUACGUGCCAGCAGCCGCGGUAAUACGUAGGUGGCAAGCGUUAUCCGGAAUUAUUGGGCGUAAAGCGCGCGUAGGCGGUUUUUUAAGUCUGAUGUGAAAGCCCACGGCUCAACCGUGGAGGGUCAUUGGAAACUGGAAAACUUGAGUGCAGAAGAGGAAAGUGGAAUUCCAUGUGUAGCGGUGAAAUGCGCAGAGAUAUGGAGGAACACCAGUGGCGAAGGCGACUUUCUGGUCUGUAACUGACGCUGAUGUGCGAAAGCGUAGGGAUCAAACAGGAUUAGAUACCCUGGUAGUCCACGCCGUAAACGAUGAGUGCUAAGUGUUAGGGGGUUUCCGCCCCUUAGUGCUGCAGCUAACGCAUUAAGCACUCCGCCUGGGGAGUACGACCGCAAGGUUGAAACUCAAAGGAAUUGACGGGGACCCGCACAAGCGGUGGAGCAUGUGGUUUAAUUCGAAGCAACGCGAAGAACCUUACCAAAUCUUGACAUCCUUUGACAACUCUAGAGAUAGAGCUUUCCCCUUCGGGGGACAAAGUGACAGGUGGUGCAUGGUUGUCGUCAGCUCGUGUCGUGAGAUGUUGGGUUAAGUCCCGCAACGAGCGCAACCCUUAAGCUUAGUUGCCAUCAUUAAGUUGGGCACUCUAAGUUGACUGCCGGUGACAAACCGGAGGAAGGUGGGGAUGACGUCAAAUCAUCAUGCCCCUUAUGAUUUGGGCUACACACGUGCUACAAUGGACAAUACAAAGGGCAGCGAAACCGCGAGGUCAAGCAAAUCCCAUAAAGUUGUUCUCAGUUCGGAUUGUAGUCUGCAACUCGACUACAUGAAGCUGGAAUCGCUAGUAAUCGUAGAUCAGCAUGCUACGGUGAAUACGUUCCCGGGUCU
rnacentral:rRNA from 1 species